rnacentral:rRNA from 1 species
UACGUAGGGUGCGAGCGUUGUCCGGAAUUACUGGGCGUAAAGAGCUCGUAGGUGGUUUGUCGCGUUGUUCGUGAAAACUCACAGCUUAACUGUGGGCGUGCGGGCGAUACGGGCAGACUGGAGUACUGCAGGGGAGACUGGAAUUCCUGGUGUAGCGGUGAAAUGCGCAGAUAUCAGGAGGAACACCGGUGGCGAAGGCGGGUCUCGUGGACAGUUCCUGACGCUGAGGCACGAAGGCCAGGGGAGCAAACGGG